UUAAUUCAAAUUUGUAUGGAGUUGGAACGUUUGCCUAAGUUUGCCGCUAGGGGCGCUGUUCCGAAUGCAUACAAAAUUGGGUUA
rfam:Bombyx mori DNA, contig: Bm_scaf19_contig13620, strain: p50T/Dazao, build 2, whole genome shotgun sequence.